ensembl:snRNA U4 U4 spliceosomal RNA
GUCUUUGCGCAGUGGCAAUAUCGUAACCCAUGUGGUUAAUCCGAGGCGCGAUUAUUGUUAAUUGAAAACUUUUCCCAAUACCCCGCCGUGACGACUUGCAAUACAGUCAGUAUCGGCAAUUUUUGGCGGUCUCUGCGGAGG